UUGAUCUCGUGUGAAAACAAUUCGAGUGUCCAACUCUUAACUGUAUAAUCGUCCGUUGAAGAACUCCAAAAAAAUGGCGAUCUUUUUCAUGAUCAUGGCUACACCUCACCCGAAGCAGCCUUACGCAUCUGCUUCUCCUACUCCUCAGGAUAAAGGAAGAGCAUGUAAAUACACCGGUCAAUCAGUGAGAGCUCUGCCCAUACGUGUGAUAACAGUGGGGAAAAAGAGAUCGGAAGGUGUUCGACUCUUGGUCGAUGAGUACAAGACCAAGCUUAAACCGUAUUGCUGUUUCGAAGAUUCUUUGGUUCGCUCCAAUCCUCGAAAUGCUCAGGAUGCUAGAGCUCAGGUUGAGGAUGAGGAAGCGGCUAUGAUGAAGCUUAUUGGGUCUGAUGAUUGGGUUGUGGUGCUUGACGAGAGAGGACGUGACGUUGAUUCAGAACAGAUGGCUGAGUUACUAGGGGAUGCAGGCAAUAGUGGAGCUUCGAGGAUAUCGUUUUGUAUAGGUGGAGCUUAUGGGCAUGGAAGAGAAGUGAGGAAGCGAGCUAAUGUGACCAUUAGACUGUCCUCCAUGGUCCUGAAUCAUCAGAUUGCUCUUGUGGUACUUAUGGAACAGCUCUACAGGGCAUGGACUAUUCUCAAGGGGCAAAAUUACCAUCAUUAAGGAUUUAAUGCUAAGAAAGAACGAAAUAUGAAGAAACUGAUUGCACAAUUAAGAUGACACUAGACCUGAGACAAGAUAGGAACCAUAUCAGGCCAUGGCUUAGGCAAUGCGACAAGAGGGUCAGCCUUAGACAUUGCCACACCAAAAACAGGUCUCAUGUCUAUAUCUCCUCCAUCAACCUUCUCCCACUCAAAACACUGAACCAAUGCUCCAACAGCAAGCGCCACCGUCCUUGUUCCAAAUCCAGCUCCAGGACAUGCUCUCCUCCCUACUCCAAAUGGCAAGAACCUAAAACCAUCUCUAUCGCCAACAAACCCUUCAAAUCUCUCAGGCUUGAAAACUUCCGCGUCUUCCCAAAGCUCACCGUCCCUAUGAACAGCCCAGGCAUUUACGAACAACAUUGUGUUUUCCGGAAUCUCGUAGUUGCCUAAGUUGAAUCUCUUUGAUGAGCAGUGAGGAAGCAAGAGUGGAGCUACAGGGUAUAGCCUGAGCGUCUCAUAAAUGACACACCGAAGAUAAGCUUAUCAGGAUGGUUCAGUAAAACCGACAUUGCCCAUUCCAUUACCGCCGGUGAAGUAUCAGUUCCGCCAUUGAACAUAAGCACGACGAUUCCUUUGAUGACAUCAUCUGAGUAGAACUCUGGUUCUGUUUCUUGAAGGCGUAAGAACUUCUCCACUACCGAACCGGUGGAAUCAAAUUUCUUCAUUCGAACAUCAUCAAUGAGUCGUUGAAGAUACUCAUCUCUCAUCCUCUGCAUCUCCAUCACUCUCUUCUCAAGACCUUUGUACCCUAUCCACCUCAACACUGGGAAAAAAUCGCAGACGUCCAUCGACAUGCUCGAGAAGAACCUCAACUUGAAAUCAUCAAAGAACCUCUUCUCUGAUUCCGGAUCGCUCCCUUCAACGCCACGGCUCCCAGAGACUAACCUGAGCAUGAUCUGAGCAGUGAGAAGAGUGAAAUGAUACUUGAGAUCCACUCUCCGAGAGUCAACGGAUGAUCUGAAGAGUCUCGAACAGAGAUUCAAGACCUCUUCGUUACGGAUAAAGGAGUUCUUCUGGAGACUUGUGGAGGAGAAGACCUCGAGGGUGGAUAGACGGCGGAGAGUUCUCCAGAUAUCUCCAUAAGGAGCUAGUCCGAAGUUCUUGUAGCCGUAGCUGAAGUGAUCAGAGGUGAUGGUCCUGGGGCGGUUCGCGAGGGUUUGGUCGUGGUUGGUGAAACACUCUUCGAUGGAUUCUGGGGAAGAGAGGACCAGAACGGGACGGCAUCCGAAUUUGAGGAAGAGAACAGGGCCGUGGAUUGAAGAGAGGAGACGCAGAGCUUGUGGUAAUGGAAUCUUCUUGAUGAGGUGAAGAUGGCCGAUGAUGGGAAGAGACGUAGGGCUUGGUGGUAACUUGGAGUUUUGACUCCAAAGGAAUCUGGCGAUGAAGAAGAAGAUAGUAGCUGCGAGAGAGAAGAGUAUGAACCAGAGAUUUUCCAUUUUCUCUUCUUUUUUUUUUGGUAAGGGAGAAGAUAGAUUGAGAAGAAGAAAAACUAGAGACGUCAACAAAACAGUUGACAACGAUUAUGUUUUAUUGUUUCCACGUGAACAACAUGUGUUCAACGAGUUUGGUGGGAACCGAAGCUUCUUGAUAUACAUUUAUGUACAUUUUUCUAAUACAGUGUUAGUGGUGAAGCUUGCAACCA